GAAAGCCGUAUUCGAUGAAAGUCGUAUGUACGGCCUGGAGGGAGAUCUUUCCUAUCUUUCGAGAUCCACCCUAC
rnacentral:ncRNA from 1 species